rnacentral:rRNA from 1 species
CCUACGGGUGGCAGCAGUGAGGAAUAUUGGUCAAUGGGCGGGAGCCUGAACCAGCCAAGUCGCGUGAGGGACGACGGUCCUAUGGAUUGUAAACCUCUUUUGUCGGGGAACAAAGGCGCCCACGGGUGGGCGGAUGAGUGUACCCGAAGAAAAAGCAUCGGCUAACUCCGUGCCAGCAGCCGCGGUAAUACGGAGGAUGCGAGCGUUAUCCGGAUUUAUUGGGUUUAAAGGGUGCGUAGGCGGACAGUCAAGUCAGCGGUAAAAAUGCGGUGCUCAACGCCGUACAGCCGUUGAAACUGGCAGUCUUGAGUGGGCGAGAAGUAUGCGGAAUGCGUGGUGUAGCGGUGAAAUGCAUAGAUAUCAGGAGGAAUACCGUUAGCGAAGGCGGCAAUCUGGCUGGAAACUGACGCUGAGGUGCGAAAGCGUGGGUAGCAAACAGGAUUAGAUACCCUGGUAGUC